rnacentral:rRNA from 1 species
AUACCGUGAAACUGCGAAUGGCUCAUUAAAUCAGUUAUCGUUUAUUUGAUAGUACCUUACUACUUGGAUAACCGUGGUAAUUCUAGAGCUAAUACAUGCUUAAAACCCCAACUUCGGGAGGGGUGUAUUUAUUAGAUAAAAAACCAACGCCCUUCGGGGCUUCUUGGUGAUUCAUGAUAACUUCACGGAUCGCAUGGCCUUGCGCCGGCGACGGUUCAUUCAAAUUUCUGCCCUAUCAACUUUCGAUGGUAAGGUAUUGGCUUACCAUGGUUUCAACGGGUAACGGGGAAUUAGGGUUCGAUUCCGGAGAGGGAGCCUGAGAAACGGCUACCACAUCCAAGGAAGGCAGCAGGCGCGCAAAUUACCCAAUCCCGACACGGGGAGGUAGUGACAAUAAAUACUGAUACAGGGCUCUUUUGGGUCUUGUAAUUGGAAUGAGUACAAUUUAAACCUCUUAACGAGGAACAAUUGGAGGGCAAGUCUGGUGCCAGCAGCCGCGGUAAUUCCAGCUCCAAUAGCGUAUAUUAAAGUUGUUGCAGUUAAAAAGCUCGUAGUUGAAACUUGGGCCUGGCUGGCAGGUCCGCCUCACCGCGUGUACUUGUCCGGCCGGGCCUUUCCUUCUGGAGAACCUCAUGCCCUUCACUGGGUGUGUUGGGGAACCAGGACUUUUACUUUGAAAAAAUUAGAGUGUUCAAAGCAGGCCUUUGCUCGAAUACGUUAGCAUGAAAUAAUAGAAUAGGACGUGCGGUCCUAUUUUGUUGGUUUCUAGGACCGCCGUAAUGAUUAAUAGGGACAGUCGGGGGCAUCAGUAUUCAAUUGUCAGAGGUGAAAUUCUUGAUUUAUUGAAGA